CCAAAAUACUGGGAUUAGAGGUGUGAACCACUGGGCCCAGCCUUAAGGUACUUUCAUAUUAAAUUCACAUUAAACAAUUUCUACCCUUUGAGCCACAUCUUUUUCUUCCAUCUCAGUUGAAAUACUUAACGGACUUCAUGAUUUGGAAAGCAGAGGUUUCUGUCCUGUGUGUGUAAAUGGAGGUAGGGUAGCUUUGAGGUUAUUUUUUUGUGGUGGAGCUGAAUUCUCAAGAAAUCCUUGUUGAGCCGCUACCUGAGCCCAUCUGGAGGCCCUGGUCACUUAGCAGAGAUCAGUCUUUCACAUUCUGGUUCCAGGAACAAAACAUCCCCAAACCACAGCAGGGCCAGCCUCCUUUUAAGAAACUUAGGUUCACGUAAUCAUUCAUUCAUGUCUCAUGACCAUGAUGGAAAAGCCUAGGCUUGGAAAAGAAACUCACCACAGAUUUAUUCAAGACAACACUGACACAGGCUUUGUGCAUUUCUGACACGGGGUUUUGAAUUCUAACACCUUGUCGCUCCUAUUGUUCUUUGGUUUUCUUAUUGUUUAUUGCUUCUGUUUUUUUUUUUUUUUUUUUUUGUCUUUUUUCUUUUUUCCUUUCUUUAGGUUUCUCUAAAGAUAUAAGAAAUCCUGCUAGCUGACAAAGGAACAAAGGUAUGUGUGUUCUGAAUAUUUGCUCUACAAGCUUGAAACAGAGUGGCACCUAUGGCCAUGACAGAAUAAAAUGCUGCAAAAAGUAACGAGGAGUCCAAGAAGCUUCCGUGACUAAUGUGGAUUCAGAAAGGGCUCACUCAGCAGAGACAUGUGACAUGUAAACCAAAUUAAGCUAUGGUGUUUAAAGAUAUGGAAUCUUGAUCCUAGUAAUUGUAAUUGUGAUUGUGUAAUGUUGGUUUCGGACAAGCCAAUCUCCGACAUCCUUGGAAUGUUCUUCCCAGCUCUCCAGACCAGCGGUCAGGGAUGGCACGGGAGGAGAUUUUGGGUUGCUCCUCCAGUAACCCAAAACCAACAGGAGCAACAGGAUGUUAGAAUUCAAACCCCAUGUCAGAAAGGUACAAAUUCUGUGUCAGUAUCAUCUGGAAUAAAUCCACGAAAUGACCAAGGCUCAUAUGAAAACUCUUCCUCUCUCAGAAGGUACUCUGAGCUCAGUAUUACAUGAACAGCCCAUUUAUUUCAGAUCUGUAGCUUGGAAUUUAUUGCGAACAGAUUCAGUCUUGGAUGAGGGUGGAGGGCAUAUCUCUCCAUUCUGUGAUUUCAUAUCUCCAGGAUAUUCCUACACCAAAAGCACUUCCUCCAUAGAAUUGGCAAAGAGUAAAUAUGUACUGUCACAGAUUUAUUCUUAUGGUUCAAGGUCUAAUUCUUUAUUAAUCAAUCACACACCUCCAAAGUGCUAUUCUUAAAAAAAAA